rnacentral:rRNA from 1 species
AACUUAAAGGAAUUGACGGAAGGGCACCACCAGGGGUGGAGCCUGCGGCUUAAUUUGACUCAACACGGGGAAACUCACCAGGUCCAGACACGAUGAGGAUUGACAGAUUGAGAGCUCUUUCUUGAUUUCGUGGGUGGUGGUGCAUGGCCGUUCUUAGUUGGUGGAGUGAUUUGUCUGCUUAAUUGCGAUAACGAACGAGACCUUAACCUGCUAAAUAGCCCGCAUUGCUUUGGCAGUGCGCCGGCUUCUUAGAGGGACUAUCGGCUCAAGCCGAUGGAAGUUUGAGGCAAUAACAGGUCUGUGAUGCA